GUCCACGCUGUAAACGAUGGGUACUAGGUGUUCGGGGUAUUGACCCCCUGAGUGCCGCAGCUAACGCAUUAAGUACCCCGCCUGGGGACUACGGCCGCAAGGUUAAAAACUCAAAAGGAAUUGACGGGGGCCCGCACAAGCGGUGGAGCAUGCUGUUCAAUUCGACGCAACGCGAAGAACCUUACCUGGGCUAGACAACGGCGGACCGCCUGGGAAACCAGGCUUUCCCCUUCGGGGACUGCCGGUUCAGGUGUUGCAUGGCUGUCGU
rnacentral:rRNA from 1 species